GAUGAACGCUGGCGGCGUGCCUAAUACAUGCAAGUCGAGCGAACAGACGAGGAGCUUGCUCCUCUGACGUUAGUGGCGGACGGGUGAGUAACACGUGGAUAACCUACCUAUAAGACUGGGAUAACUUCGGGAAACCGGAGCUAAUACCGGAUAAUAUAUUGAACCGCAUGGUUCAAUAGUGAAAGACGGUUUUGCUGUCACUUAUAGAUGGAUCCGCGCCGCAUUAGCUAGUUGGUAAGGUAACGGCUUACCAAGGCAACGAUGCGUAGCCGACCUGAGAGGGUGAUAGGCCACACUGGAACUGAGACACGGUCCAGACUACUACGGGAGGCAGCAGUAGGGAAUCUUCCGCAAUGGGCGAAAGCCUGACGGAGCAACGCCGCGUGAGUGAUGAAGGUCUUCGGAUCGUAAAACUCUGUUAUUAGGGAAGAACAAAUGUGUAAGUAACUAUGCACGUCUUGACGGUACCUAAUCAGAAAGCCACGGCUAACUACGUG
rnacentral:rRNA from 1 species